rnacentral:rRNA from 1 species
GACGAACGCUGGCGGCGUGCUUAACACAUGCAAGUCGAACGAUGAACCCGGAGCUUGCUCCGGUGGAUUAGUGGCGAACGGGUGAGUAACACGUGAGUAACCUGCCCUUGACUCUGGAAUAACUGCGGGAAACUGUAGCUAACACCGGAUACGACACCUUGGGGCAUCCCAGGGUGUGGGAAGAAUUUCGGUCAAGGAUGAACUGGCGGCCUAUCAGCUAGUUGGUGAGGUAAUGGCUCACCAAGGCGACGACGGGUAGCCGGCCUGAGAGGGUGACCGGCCACACUGGAACUGAGACACGGUCCAGACUCCUACGGGAGGCAGCAGUGGGGAAUAUUGCACAAUGGGCGAAAGCCUGAUGCAGUAACGCCGCGUGAGGGAUGAAGGCCUUCGGGUUGUAAACCUCUUUUAGCAGGGAAGAAGCGAAAGUGACGGUACCUGCAGAAAAAGCACCGGCUAACUACGUGCCAGCAGCCGCGGUAA